rnacentral:tRNA from 1 species
GGUAGGAUGGCUGAAUGUUUAAGCGGUGAUUGUAGCCCCAUGGACAGAGGUUUAAUUCCUCUUCUUACCA